GACGAGUGCCCAGCCGGGCAAAGCCAACAGGUCAAAAGAGACAGGAAGGGGAGGAAAGAAACUUACUCAAGUUCAUUCAAAAAAACAGGAUGUACAGAGGGCUAUAAUCCAGAAAGAUGAAGAGAGAAUUACAGGACAGACUCGGGUGACGGAGGAGUAGGAUGUUUCUUUCUCUCCCUCAUAGGCUGCAAUCAGAAGGGUUAAAAGCACAUCAUGGCAUCCCCUGUAGAUGACAGUCAAUUGUGAACACAGGACAGGACAUGUAGUGUGACCUUAAGGCCAGUACAGGAGCACCCAGGUCAGGAGUGGAG